rfam:Medicago truncatula strain A17 chromosome 4, whole genome shotgun sequence.
AAACAGUCCUCUAUGUAUUGGAUCUUUGGCAGUUUUGGCCCCCAAGGCCACUUUUAACUUAGUCUUCGCUGACGUGGCACCCACAAUGGUCAACACAUGGCACCUCACUUAAGGGAUGUAGGUGCCACGCCAGCGAAGACUAAGUCAAAAGUGGCUUUCGGGGCCAAAACUGCUAAAGAUUCAAUACAUAGGAGGCUGUUU